rnacentral:lncRNA from 1 species
CUAUUUAUGAGAUUGAUGUCCUGGAUACUUAACAUUAAAAAGUAUAUUUAUCCAAAGCAAAAUAAAAUAAGUCCCUUUCACCAUUAAUAUUUAUUGUGUAGCUUAAAUGCAGCAGGAUUCUUCCAAAUAUGAAGGCAAAAAAACCUCUUCUGAUAUUGUUUUUUUUUUUCUUUUUUUAUUUCUCCAUAUUUUGGAUGCUCUCAAAGCAGCCUCAUGAAACUAUUUUGCCAGAAGCUCUGUAAGGUGACCCCACUUGUAGAAAUGCCAGAAGUAAGUUAAAAGGUAGGUUUUGCUCUUUACCUAGAAGGAGACAAUAAAUCUUUCUGUACCCUAACAAAAUAGUCCAAGAAUUUUGUCUCACUACCCUGGGCAAUUCCAGAAUGAGUUUCCAGAAGAAUUGUUCUACAAUAUGUCAGAAAUACUGUAUUGUUAUUAAUACUGAUUCAAAAUACACUAAAUAGACUACUGUGAGAAUCAGAGAUCUUCACAUUCUAUUAAUUACUUCCUUAUAAUGACUUUUAUUGAUAUGGUUUUGACUUGCUAUAUUUGAGGUAUGAGGCAAAAAGAUUUGAAUAUAUGAAAUAUAUUAACAGUUAUAUUUGUCUUACCAACUCUCUGAAGUAGGUUAUUUUUAUCACCCUCCUCCUCUUUUAUAUUUAAGAAAAAUAAAACCUAGAUACACUUGUGGACCAAAUAAAUGUGGAGUUAGAUAUAAAGAAGGAAUCUGUAAUGGUAGCCUUAGAUUUGAAAUAGAAAUAAUUUUUUAGGGACAUCAAAUUUUAGAACUUGU